AGUGGACAUCAGGUGGACAUGCACAAAGUUAACAAAUCCCGCCCAUGCAUCGCUGGUGAACCCAUCGUUUUCUCUAAAUUGAAGGUGUUGUAAGGAGUGAGGUGUCCUUCCCUGUUAAGAGAUAAACCACCUAAACAGGGUCCAGCGUUUGAUCCACCAUCAGGUCCUGCACAGUGAUGGUUUGAGGCACACCUUCAGGUCCAGACAUGAUGGGUCACGGCAAGUACAGUGAUGAAGGGAUCAUGAAAUUCGGUUCCGCAGCCACUGAGGAGUACAUCAAGGUGAACAUGUCUGAGCACCUCAAGCACGCGUCGUAAAGACUUGGCUGUGGAGGAUUCACUAUGCCCUGAUGAGCCAAGCCUACGGGACUUGAAUUAAGAGUUCAAUUAAAGGGAUAGUUCACUUUGAAAUUAAUUUUUGAUAUGUUUUAGCUUACCUCAAGGGCAUCCAAGAUGUAGGUG